rnacentral:rRNA from 1 species
GAUGAACGCUGGCGGCGUGCCUAAUACAUGCAAGUCGAGCGAACAGACGAGGAGCUUGCUCCUCUGACGUUAGCGGCGGACGGGUGAGUAACACGUGGAUAACCUACCUAUAAGACUGGGAUAACUUCGGGAAACCGGAGCUAAUACCGGAUAAUAUAUUGAACCGCAUGGUUCAAUAGUGAAAGACGGUUUUGCUGUCACUUAUAGAUGGAUCCGCGCCGCAUUAGCUAGUUGGUAAGGUAACGGCUUACCAAGGCAACAAUGCGUAGCCGACCUGAGAGAGUGAUCGGCCACACUGGAACUGAGACACGGUCCAGACUCCUACGGGAGGCAGCAGUAGGGAAUCUUCCGCAAUGGGCGAAAGCCUGACGGAGCAACGCCGCGUGAGUGAUGAAGGUCUUCGGAUCGUAAAACUCUGUUAUUAGGGAAGAACAAAUGUGUAAGUAACUAUGCACGUCUUGACGGUACCUAAUCAGAAAGCCACGGCUAACUACGUG